AAAUUGAAGAGUUUGAUCAUGGCUCAGAUUGAACGCUGGCGGCAGGCCUAACACAUGCAAGUCGAACGGUAACACAGAGAGCUUGCUCUCGGGUGACGAGUGGCGGACGGGUGAGUAAUGUCUGGGAAACUGCCUGAUGGAGGGGGAUAACUACUGGAAACGGUAGCUAAUACCGCAUAACGUCGCAAGACCAAAGAGGGGGACCUUCGGGCCUCUUGCCAUCAGAUGUGCCCAGAUGGGAUUAGCUAGUAGGUGGGGUAAUGGCUCACCUAGGCGACGAUCCCUAGCUGGUCUGAGAGGAUGACCAGCCACACUGGAACUGAGACACGGUCCAGACUCCUACGGGAGGCAGCAGUGGGGAAUAUUGCACAAUGGGCGCAAGCCUGAUGCAGCCAUGCCGCGUGUAUGAAGAAGGCCUUCGGGUUGUAAAGUACUUUCAGCGGGGAGGAAGGUGUUGUGGUUAAUAACCACAGCAAUUGACGUUACCCGCAGAAGAAGCACCGGCUAACUCCGUGCCAGCAGCCGCGGUAAUACGGAGGGUGCAAGCGUUAAUCGGAAUUACUGGGCGUAAAGCGCACGCAGGCGGUCUGUCAAGUCGGAUGUGAAAUCCCCGGGCUCAACCUGGGAACUGCAUUCGAAACUGGCAGGCUAGAGUCUUGUAGAGGGGGGGUAGAAUUCCAGGUGUAGCGGUGAAAUGCGUAGAGAUCUGGAGGAAUACCGGUGGCGAAGGCGGCCCCCUGGACAAAGACUGACGCUCAGGUGCGAAAGCGUGGGGAGCAAACAGGAUUAGAUACCCUGGUAGUCCACGCCGUAAACGAUGUCGACUUGGAGGUUGUGCCCUUGAGGCGUGGCUUCCGGAGCUAACGCGUUAAGUCGACCGCCUGGGGAGUACGGCCGCAAGGUUAAAACUCAAAUGAAUUGACGGGGGCCCGCACAAGCGGUGGAGCAUGUGGUUUAAUUCGAUGCAACGCGAAGAACCUUACCUACUCUUGACAUCCAGAGAACUUUCCAGAGAUGGAUUGGUGCCUUCGGGAACUCUGAGACAGGUGCUGCAUGGCUGUCGUCAGCUCGUGUUGUGAAAUGUUGGGUUAAGUCCCGCAACGAGCGCAACCCUUAUCCUUUGUUGCCAGCGGUUAGGCCGGGAACUCAAAGGAGACUGCCAGUGAUAAACUGGAGGAAGGUGGGGAUGACGUCAAGUCAUCAUGGCCCUUACGAGUAGGGCUACACACGUGCUACAAUGGCGCAUACAAAGAGAAGCGACCUCGCGAGAGCAAGCGGACCUCAUAAAGUGCGUCGUAGUCCGGAUUGGAGUCUGCAACUCGACUCCAUGAAGUCGGAAUCGCUAGUAAUCGUAGAUCAGAAUGCUACGGUGAAUACGUUCCCGGGCCUUGUACACACCGCCCGUCACACCAUGGGAGUGGGUUGCAAAAGAAGUAGGUAGCUUAACCUUCGGGAGGGCGCUUACCACUUUGUGAUUCAUGACUGGGGUGAAGUCGUAACAAGGUAACCGUAGGGGAACCUGCGGUUGGAUCACCUCCUUA
rnacentral:rRNA from 1 species